UUUCUCUGUAGUAUCCUGAAGUACGAGGUUGUGCUCGACUGAUGGUGGUAGGAAUUUUCACCUUUCGGUAUCGCACAUUAGUCGAGUACAGUGAGUAGCUUGGUAUGCACGGGACGGUUCGUCGUUGCUGUUGCUUGCAGCACGUCAUGCGAUUCUACCGUGGUUAAAUAAGGUAUGAAAGCGCAUAAUAUAUAUGGUGUUACAUUUCAUGUCAUUUCAUGAUUCAAGACGAAUAUAGUCUUUGUGUUUAGCUAGUUGAAGCAAUAUGAAGUAAACGUGUAACGCAGGGCAAUUAUGUGAAAAACGUACGUGUGGAAUACAAUAAUUUGUUUUCAGUUCGCUCUGGUCCAAUGGAAUAUUGGCACGAAGCCCAGGCGUAAGGGUGAAGAAUUCAUCUGCCUGGAAAGGAGUGUAUUAUGUGUACGCUUCGAUGUUGCACCAAACAACCAUUAAUGCAAGGAAAUAGAGGAUACUGUGAUUCGCAAACGAUGAGGAAGAUCGGCAUUGAACCGUUUCACCGUUGGCUAGCGCUUUUGCGAAAACGGAGAUUUACCGACGGGAUUGGCAAAAGCGGCAUAGGCACAUUCACCACCAUUGGACUUCGACUACUUCUGGUGUUGCAUGCUGUUGAAGCUCUUCAAAAUCUUUCA